rnacentral:rRNA from 1 species
AACAAAAACAUGUCCUUUGGUAUUAAUAUAAGGUUUGACCUGCCCACUGAUUUAUUAAAUGGCCGCAGUAUUUUGACUGUGCAAAGGUAGCAUAAUCAUUAGUUUUUUAAUUAAAAGCUUGUAUGAAGGGUUGGACGAAGUAAAAUCUGUCUCUAUUUAGUUUAUAUUAGAAUUUAAUUUUUAAGUUAAAAAGCUUAAAUUUUAGUAAAAGACGAGAAGACCCUAUAGAUCUUUAUAAUAUUGUUCAUGAUUUUAAUUUAGGGAUAUUUUAUUUUUUAUUUACAUUAUUAUUUUAUUGGGGUAAUAGAAAGAUUUAAUUAAUUCUUUUUUAUAUAAUAUAUUAAUUAAUAGUUUUAUGAUCCAAUAGUUUGAUUAAAAGAUUAAGUUACCUUAGGGAUAACAGCGUAAUUUUUUUAGAGAGUUCAUAUCAAUAAAAAAGUUUGCGACCUCGAUGUUG